rnacentral:rRNA from 1 species
AUUAAACGCUGGCGGCAUGCCUUACACAUGCAAGUCGAACGGCAGCACGGGGGCAACCCUGGUGGCGAGUGGCGGACGGGUGAGUAAAGCAUCGGAACGUAUCCUGGAGUGGGGGAUAACGUAGCGAAAGUUACGCUAAUACCGCAUAUUCUGUGAGCAGGAAAGCAGGGGAUCGCAAGACCUUGCGCUCUGGGAGCGGCCGAUGUCGGAUUAGCUAGUUGGUGGGGUAAAGGCCUACCAAGGCGACGAUCCGUAGCGGGUCUGAGAGGAUGAUCCGCCACACUGGGACUGAGACACGGUCCAGACUCCUACGGGAGGCAGCAGUGGGGAAUUUUGGACAAUGGGCGCGAGCCUGAUCCGGCCAUUCCGCGUGCAGGAUGAAGGCCUUCGGGUUGUAAACUGCUUUUGUACGGAACGAAACGGUACUGCCCUAAUACGGCAGGCUAAUGACGGUACCGUAAGAAUAAGCACCGGCUAACUACGUGCCAGCAGCCGCGGUAA